CUGGGAUAUGUUCCAGGUAGCCUCAGACAAUAACAUUGACGUAUACGCUGCCUCAGUGAGUGAGUUUAUAAGGAAGUGUAUAGGAAAUGUUGUACCCACUGUGACUAUUAAAACCUUCUCUAACCAGAAACCGUGGAUUGAUGGCAGCAUUCUCGCAAAACUGAAAGCGCGUACCGCUGCAUUUAAUCAUGGCAAGGUGACUGGAAACAUGGCCGAAUACAAACAGUGUCGUUAUUCCCUCUGAAAGGCAAUCAAACAAGCAAAGCGUCAGUAUAGAGACAAAGGGGAGUCGUAAUUCAACGGCUCAAACACGAGACGUAUGUGGCAGGGUCUACAGACAAUCACGGAUUACAAAAAGAAAACCAGCCCCGUCGCGGAUGUUGAUGUCCUGCUUCCAGACAAAUUAAACUUCUUUGCACGCUUUGAGGACAAUACAGUGCCACCGACGCCGGCUCUCCUUCUCCGUGGCCGACGUGAGUAAAACAUUUAAACGUGUUAACCCUCGAAAGGAGGCAUCCCAAUGGUGUUGACUGCUGAGCUUAGUCAAUGAACAGCAUUCUUACAUAGGUAUUCCUCUUGUCCAGAUGGGAUAGGGCAGUGUGCAGUGUGAUGGCGAUUGCAUCGUAUCAUCGCCUGGUACGACAACUGCACCACCCACAACCGCAGGGCUCUCCAGUGGGUGGUGCGGUCUGCACAGAGCAUGCGCAGACCAGCUGGCUGGUGUGUUUACGGACGUAUUCAAUCAAUCCCUAACCCAGUCUGCUGUACCCACUUGCUUCAAGAUAGCCACCAUUGUUCCUGUCCCCAAGAAAGUUAAGGUAACUGAACUAAAUGACUAUCGCCCCGUAGCACUCACUUCUGUCAUCAUGAGGUGCUUUGAGAGACUAGUCAAGGAUCAUAUCACCUCCACCCUACCUGUCACCCUAGACCCACUCCAAUUUGCUUACCACCCCAAUAGGUCCACAGACGAUGCAAUCGCCAUCAUACUGCACACUGCCCUAUCCUAUCAGGACAAGAGGAAUACCUAUGUAAUAAUGCUGUUCAUUGACUUUAGCUCAGCAUUCAACACCAUAGUACCCUCCAAACUCAUCAUUAAGCUUGAGACCCUGGGUCUCGACCCCGCCCUGUGCAACUGGGUCCUGGACUUCCUGACGGGCCGCCCCCAGGUGAUGAAGGUAGGAAACAACAUCUCCACUCCGCUGAUCCUCAACACUGGGGCCCCUCAAGGGUACGUUCUCAGCCCCCUCCUGUACUCCCUGUUCACCCACGACUGCGUGGCUAUGCACGCCUCCAACUCAAUCAUCAAGUUUGCAGACGACACUACAGUGGAAGGCUUGAUUACCAACAACAACGAGACAGGCUACAGGGAGGAGGUGAGGGCCCUCGGAGUAUGGUGUCAGGAAAAUAACCUCUCACUCAAUGUCAGCAAAACAAAGGAUUGUGGACUUCAGGAAACAGCAGAGGGGAAAUGUGGAAAGCUUCAAGUUCCUGACGAUCUGAAAUGGUCCACCCACACAGACAGUGUUGUGAAGAAGGCACAAUUGCACCUCUUCAACCUCAGGAGGCUUAAGAAAUUUGGCUUGGCCCCUAAAAUUCAGAAACUUUUACAGAUGCAUAAAUGAGAGGAUCCUGUCAGGCGGUAUCACCGCCUGACAGGAUCAGGGCUCUCCAGAGGGUGGUGCAGUCUGCCCAACACAUCACCGGGGGCAAACUACCUGCCCUCCAGGACACAUACAGCACCCGAUGUCACAGGAAGGCCCAAAAGAUCAUCAAGGAUAUCAUCCACUCGAGCCACAGCCUGUUCAACCCACUAUCAUCCAGAAGGCGAGGUCAGUACAGGAUGUCGGUGGGCGGAGCUGGGAGGGUCGUCAGCAACAUGGGACACACCUGGGCCCGGGUGUGUCCUGGGAUAAAUACACCUCUUCCCCAUUCAUUGAGGAGACUCUCCAUGCAGACACACUGUUAGAUUUUGGUUGUUGACUACACACACA
rnacentral:lncRNA from 1 species